GUAGGACCUUCUUCUGGUGGAUUUCUUUUACUUCGAUAUGAAGCCAAUGUUGUUUUUGCUGUGCUCGGUGCAACUGAAACGGGAAUAUAUUCGUGGAGAAACUUAAAUAACAUUUAAUGGGGGAGAACGUUAUAGUUUUUACUAGGUUUACUCGAGUCGAAACGUUUAGCCAAAGAUUGUUUUUAUUGCUUAAAGUUAACUGUGAAAUUUUAUUUUUAUCAUCAUCUGGCGUGCGACUCCCCCAUAUCAGCAACAAAGUCAAUCUGAGUGUGCAUACUAAUGUGCUUUUUCUUACAAUCGCGGAUUAUCAUCUUUAAACUGAACUAUUUGGGUCAAGUAAUAAUGUUAAUGAUUUGCAGUGAUCUGUCUUAUUAAACCUUUGGAAUUUAUGGCUCUUUAAUUUUUGAUGAUGUUAUAAACACCAUUGUCUAGAAAUCGAGUGAGUAGUAAGUGAAUGAAAUAAAGUCUAUU